CAGCGUUUGACAUGGUAGGACGGUUUCCAGAGAUGGAUUCCUUCCCUUACGGGACCUACACACAGGUGCUGCAUGGCUGUCGUCAGCUCGUGUCGUGAGAUGUUGGGUUAAGUCCCGCAACGAGCGCAACCCUCGUCUUUAGUUGCUACCAUUUAGUUGAGCACUCUAAAGAAACUGCCGGUGAUAAGCCGGAGGAAGGUGGGGAUGACGUCAAGUCCUCAUGGCCCUUACAUCCUGGGCUACACACGUGUUACAAUGGCGGUGACAAUGAGUCGCGACCCCGCGAGGGAUAGCCAAUCUCAAAAAGCCGCCUCAGUUUGGAUUGUACUCUGCAACUCGAGUACAUGAAAUUGGAAUCGCUAGUAAUCGUAGAUCAGCACGCUACGGUGAAUA
rnacentral:rRNA from 1 species